CUCGGAAGCGGAAGCGGAAGCCCCUGGAGGGCUCCUGCCCGGGAAAGCUGUGGGCUCUGAGGAGCCAGGCCCAAGCUUCCCUUUCUGCCCUUGUGGGGCCCUAAGGCCGAGGGACAGCUUUAGGCGGGUGCUGUGUGGUCCGGCCUGGCCUCGAACUUGGGGUGCAGCAGGGAGGUAUGCGAGCUCAGUCCUGUGCCUCGGCCUUCGGCGUCCCUGGGCUACAGGUGUGCGGGUGUCACCCACGUGCUGAGGUCACCGGUGUCUUCCGCCGGCCCGGCGCCGGGACUCCCUCCGUGACGUCAGGGGGAGCCCACACCUACUCAGCAGCUGCGGAAAGGGCAGGUGUGCGCCUUGGGCGGGCCAGAACCGGGAAGCCAGGGGCCGAUUCUGCGCGAGUUGGGGCCGGGACCCCACUGACCCGGCCGCCUGUCACUGGCCUGACGCCUGUCCCGAGCCCAGCAAGUCCCCCUCCUGCUCUGGCCCGGGCAGGCCCCGCCCCCGCCCUUGCCCGCAGGCCCCGCGCCGCCAUCUUUGUUAGGGGCAGGCCCAAGAUGCCGAAGUCGUGCGCGGCCCGGCAGUGCUGCAACCGCUACAGCAGCCGCAGGAAGCAGCUCACCUUCCACCGGUUCCCGUUCAGCCGGCCCGAGCUGCUGAAGGAAUGGGUGCUCAACAUCGGCCGGGCUGACUUCAAGCCCAAGCAGCACACGGUCAUCUGCUCCGAGCACUUCCGGCCCGAGUGCUUCAGUGCCUUUGGGAACCGCAAAAACCUGAAGCACAAUGCUGUGCCCACCGUGUUUGCCUUCCGGGAGCCGGCACAGGUAGGGACCAUGGCAGGAGCUGGGCGGGCAGAGGCCCAGGAGAGCAGGGCAAAGAGCAAGGCGGCCGCAGAGGCCUUCAGCCCUGCUGACCCCGUCCUGUGCUUUAGGAGAACUUUGGAAUCUAUGUGGUUUUCUUUUUUCCAAAAAAAGGAAGCUGAACAAGGAGGUUUAUUUGAACCCAGGAGUUUGAGGCCAGCCUGGCCACGGAGCAGACUUCAUCUUUUUUUUUUUUUUUGGUACCAGGGAUCGAACUCAGGACCUCUCGCUUGCCCGACAGGCGCUGUGCCGCUGAGCAAAAUCCCUGGCCCCUAUUUUGUUUUUUGAGAUGAGGGGUCUCACUGUGUAGCACAGGCUGGCCUUGAACUCACAGCAGUCCUCCUGCCUCAGCCUCCCCAGUCCCGGAUUCACAGGCAUGCACCACUGCAUCUGGGAGACCUUGUCUUAAAAAAUCAAAUCAUGCUGUUGUGUGCAGCAGGGUGCUGUUGAGGCAGCUGAGGGGUCCGUGCUUGGAGUGGGGGGCUGUUCCGGGGUCCUGCUGGCUGAAGCUGCUUGGUGGAGACACCUGCUGGAGGCUCAGGCUCCCACCUGCAUCCAGACCCAGUGCUCUGUAUGUUUCCGGUCAGGCCCCUCUGGGUGCCGUGCAUGCCCCGCUGGGCCUGUGUGGCGUGGGCAGAGAUGGAGGGGCCCUGGGCACAGUGGGCAGAGGCUGCGAAUGGUAAGAGCAGGGCAGGGUGGGAGCAGUGCCGUGUAGCUGUGUGGAUGGCGAGCAGGGUCAGGCGACUUAGCUCAAGUGCCCAACUGCAGCUGAAAAGCACUUCUCUCGGGGCCCGGGACUGGAAGUCAGAGCUCAGGUCCCAGCACAGGUGGCUGCUAGUGUCGCCCUGCAUGGUGUGCGGUGGCAGACAGUAGAGAUGCGAGACGCCACCAGGGGGCCCUGGCACUGGGCCUCAGCUCGUGACCCUGGGGCAGCGGAGGGGUGAGGUGGCUCUGGAAGGCUCAGGGCAGCUGCAGGUGGAGUGGCUGGGCGCAGGCUGGAGGGCAGAGGGCUGCUCUUACAGAUCUGCUGGGCUGAGAGGCGGCGGGGCCCGAGAUGGUUUUGGGCAGCCAGAUCGUGAUGGGGGUGUGGAGAUGUGGGGGAACUCAGGGGGGCUGGCCACUGAAGCCACGCGGUGUCAGUCCAAAGUGGACAGCCCAUGAGCCAUGGGACAGACGCAAGGCCAGCGGGCACCGGUGUUUGAUUUUCUUGCGACUGAGAGGAGGGAAGCUGAGUGCAGAAGAAACCAUGCUCGGAAUGUGAGGCCGUGGCCAGGCGUGGUGGUGCACACUUGCAAUCCCAGCGCAAGGGAGGCUGAGGCAGGAGGAUCGCCUUGAGUUCGCGGCUGGCCUGAACUACAUAAUGAAACCUUGCCUCAAAAAACCAAGAAAAACAAAAGUGAGAAGAACUUCCUGCCCGGGACCUGCAUGGUGGUCCCGGCCUCUGCCAUGUAUCCACCCGCUGCCCCUCAUGUUGCAGUCUCUGUCCCUUCUGUCCCAAGCCCCCAGCCGAGUCCCUGUCUGCCGGCCCCGCACAGUUCUCUUGCCUGCCCUGUCUUUCUAGUGCUGACCUAGCACUGGCUGCCUUCAGCUGCCCUUGGGGCGGGUGCUCUGUCCCUGUGGGUGGCUCGUGGCUCUGUGACAGCAGGGCCCCUCAAGUGUGCGUGCCAGUGGAUGGUGGUCAUUUAGGCCCCGUCACACAGGUAUGGAGUUUGGUGGCCCAGGCUGACACCUGCCCACUGCGGUCCCCGGCAUCUCCAUGCCAGGGGGUGGGAGAAGCUGGCAACAGGGCCCUGUGGCCACUGCUCCAUCCCUGGCCUUCACCACUUUGUGGUGCCCCGCAGGGUGGGGUGACAGAGACCUGCUCAUGAGCUCGGACCCAUGGCUUGGGGAUGUCUUGGAGAGGGGACACCAGGUGGACAGUGAGGCAGCUGGGCUGGGACCCAGGCUGGCUUCACUCAUGGACGCUUGCUGGUGUCCUGGCCGGGCCACGGCUGGCUGGGCCCCACCACCCGAGCUGUCUGUCUUGCAGCUGGUGCGGGAGGACACGGAGCCUGCGGGCAGCAGAGAGGCCGACUCUCAGGAGGAGGCUGUGCCACUGAGGCUGGAAACCUCUGAAGCCCCCGGCGCACCUGCCAGCUGCUCGGGGCCAAGCAGACUCCACCCCAGGCAGGCGUGGGAUCACAGCUACGCCCUGUUGGACUUGGACACCCUGAAAAAGAAGCUGUU